CUGGCUCAGGAUAAACGCUGGCGGCGUGCUUAACACAUGCAAGUCGAACGGAGUAUCCUUCGGAAGAUUGAAGAGCUUGCUCGGAGAGAUCUUGGAAUACUUAGUGGCGGACGGGUGAGUAACGCGUGGGUAACCUGCCUCACACAGGGGGAUAACAGUUGGAAACGACUGUUAAUACCGCAUAAGCGCACAGUAUCGCAUGGUACAGUGUGAAAAACUCCGGUGGUGUGAGAUGGACCCGCGUCUGAUUAGCUAGUUGGUGAGGUAACGGCCCACCAAGGCGACGAUUGGUAGCCGGACUGAGAGGUUGAACGGCCACAUUGGGACUGAGACACGGCCCAGACUCCUACGGGAGGCAGCAGUGGGGAAUAUUGCACAAUGGGCGCAAGCCUGAUUGCAGCAACGCCGCGUGGAGGAAGACGGUUUUCGGAUUGUAAACUCCUGUUCUUAGUGACGAAGAAGUGACGGUAGCUAAGGAGCAAGCCACGGCUAACUACGUGCCAGCCGCCGC
rnacentral:rRNA from 1 species